rnacentral:tRNA from 1 species
GCUUUCGUGGUGUAACUGCGAACACGCUCGGCGCAUAUUCCGGAGGUCCGGAGUUCAAAUCUCGGCGAGAGCA